UGCAACACCAGUGCUGGGACAAAGGGAGCUCCAGGCUUAGCUCUGGGGCUGCUGCACUCACACAACAGCUCCUGCUCUUGUUCCUGCUGAUCCUGCAGUUUGGGGUUGAGAAGAAAGGAGGGAGUAAACUGCUUUCUUUGAGAACUGGGGAGUUCAGUGCCUGAAAUUCCAGAAUCACAGAAUGUGCUGAGUUGGAAGGGACCCACAGGGAUCAGAGUCCAACUCCUGGCCCUGCACAGGACCAUCAGCAACAGACCAUCAUCGUCUCCUGUGCCCAAGAGUGAUGAGCACCUUGUGGCCAUGGGUGCUUUAACUCCUCUGGAGACAACCACAUGAGAAAGUCAGGAAAGAAGAAAAAAAAAUGACCUUACAGUGGUUUAUUACUGUUUAUGCCAGUGUCUGGAUUCCAAACCACCCUGGAGUUAAGUGUAAAGGAAGAUUCGUGUCCUGCUCGCCAUGGUAGGACACGAGUGAAAUCCACAGUGACACAGACUCAUCACAGGCUGACAGCGUGCUCUGCUACACUCUACCACUCAGGAAGGAGCUCUUGGAGCCAUUUGGGGAGAGUUCUGGGACUGUUCAGGAGCUGUCAAAAAGGCAAGAAGAACCCUAAGAAUGAAGAGGAGGCUAAAAAGAAAGUAUUUAUGGUAAAACAUGAAGAGGUGUCAAAAGGUGUCCAUAAACAAAAA